CCAGACUCCUACGGGAGGCAGCAGUGAGGAAUAUUGGUCAAUGGACGAGAGUCUGAACCAGCCAAGUAGCGUGAAGGAUGACUGCCCUAUGGGUUGUAAACUUCUUUUAUAUGGGAAUAAAAUGUUCCACGUGUGGGAUUUUGUAUGUACCAUAUGAAUAAGGAUCGGCUAACUCCGUGCCAGCAGCCGCGGUAAUACGGAGGAUGCGAGCGUUAUCCGGAUUUAUUGGGUUUAAAGGGUGCGCAGGCGGAGGCACAAGUCAGGGGUAAAAUCGCGGGGCUCAACCCCGCUCCGCCGUUGAAACUGUGUCCCUUGAGUGCGCGAAGGGUAGGCGGAAUGCGUGGUGUAGCGGUGAAAUGCAUAGAUAUCACGCAGAACUCCGAUUGCGAAGGCAGCAUACCGGCGCCCAACUGACGCUGAAGCACGAAAGCGUGGGUAUCGAACAGGAUUAGAUACCCUAGUAAA
rnacentral:rRNA from 1 species